rnacentral:rRNA from 1 species
GAUGAACGCUGGCGGCGUGCCUAAUACAUGCAAGUCGAGCGAACAGAUAAGGAGCUUGCUCCUUUGACGUUAGCGGCGGACGGGUGAGUAACACGUGGGUAACCUAUCUAUAAGACUGGAAUAACUCCGGGAAACCGGGGCUAAUGCCGGAUAACAUGUUGAACCGCAUGGUUCUACAGUGAAAGGCGGCUUUGCUGUCACUUAUAGAUGGACCCGCGCCGUAUUAGCUAGUUGGUGAGGUAACGGCUCACCAAGGCAACGAUACGUAGCCGACCUGAGAGGGUGAUCGGCCACACUGGAACUGAGACACGGUCCAGACUCCUACGGGAGGCAGCAGUAGGGAAUCUUCCGCAAUGGGCGAAAGCCUGACGGAGCAACGCCGCGUGAGUGAUGAAGGUCUUCGGAUCGUAAAACUCUGUUAUUAGGGAAGAACAAAUGCGCAAGUAACUGUGCGCGUCUUGACGGUACCUAAUCAGAAAGCCACGGCUAACUACGUG